AUUGAACGCUGGCGGCAGGCCUAACACAUGCAAGUCGAGCGGAUGAAGGGAGCUUGCUCCUGGAUUCAGCGGCGGACGGGUGAGUAAUGCCUAGGAAUCUGCCUGGUAGUUGGGGAUAACGUCCGGAAACGGGCGCUAAUACCGCAUACGUCCUGAGGGAGAAAGUGGGGGAUCUUCGGACCUCACGCUAUCAGAUGAGCCUAGGUCGGAUUAGCUAGUUGGUGGGGUAAAGGCCUACCAAGGCGACGAUCCGUAACUGGUCUGAGAGGAUGAUCAGUCACACUGGAACUGAGACACGGUCCAGACUCCUACGGGAGGCAGCAGUGGGGAAUAUUGGACAAUGGGCGAAAGCCUGAUCCAGCCAUGCCGCGUGUGUGAAGAAGGUCCUCGGAUUGUAAAGCACUUUAAGUUGGGAGGAAGGGCAGUAAGUUAAUACCUUGCUGUUUUGACGUUACCAACAGAAUAAGCACCGGCUAACUUCGUG
rnacentral:rRNA from 1 species